AUGAGGUCAAAAGUGAUGACCUCACCCUCAUAUAUAUUAGACUCACAGCCUCUUGAGGACCCUAUCAAUAAUGCUGAUGACAUGCAGGAUGAAGUCAGAUAUGAAAAAGAUCAGCCUGAUACUGGGAGCCUGGCCCAGUUCUUUGCUGAUCAAGAAAUAGCCAGCCCAACUCAGUCAAUAGCGGCUGAACCGGAGGCAGAGAUGCAGGAGGCUGAUCUGAAGUCAGCUGAACCAACCCAGUCACUCGAGGCUGAAAUAGAGAGUGGGAUGCAGGCUGAUCUAGAGACACCCGGCCCAUCCCAUGUACAGGAGCCACACCAGACUUCUCUACUCAACUCUGGAGACCUGAAACUGGAGGAUACUGAUGUGACCUUCACCACCAUGCCCACGGCCCCCCAGGCUGCAACGUCCCAGAACAGCCUUGUCAGGCUGCAAAGAAGCUCCCCAGACCUCUCCACCUUUGUGCAGGACAUGACUGACAACCACUGGAAUCUGUUGAGUGAGAAUAUGCGUGCCAAGUUAACUAGAGAUGAGUUUACUGCCAAGUGCAUGGACAUUGUCACAUGGGUGAAGAAGAUCAAAUCGACAGUUGUGGUUCCCGCCCUUGACCUCACCAUGCAGAUAGAGCUGACUGAGUUGCCAGGCUCUCCUGGAUCAGGAAGUGAGGAGGCAGUAACUUCUCUCUCCCGCACUGUGAGAUUAAGUUGUACUCAAGGCCCCAGCAGGAACACCAGUUCUAAAACUUCCUGGAGCACACCGACACCCACACCUUUCCCCUCCAGUCACAGGUCCAUGACCUCUUUGCUGAGUGAAGAGGAUGAUAAAGACUUGAUCCCUGGAGAGGUCACAUAUCGCUCAACACCUGAGGGGGGCAAUAGAGAGAUGAGGGACAGACCCUGCUCAGAGCCACUCAGGUCUGUGUUUGGCCUGUCUCAGAGCUGUAUUUUCAAUCAAAUGGUCCACAGUGGAGCAUGCAGGUCGCUAAGUGAGAUUGUACUGCCAUCCAGCCGGAGUAGGCAGAGGAAGCUCAUGCCCAUCAUCGUCUCCACAGACACCAGAUUGGUAAUGGAAAUUGUGGAGAUGGUGAUGAAAGUCAUCAACUCCAGGCUAGCUCAGCUAAUGCUAAAUGUGGGUUGUAGUCAGGGAACUGAAGGUCAUGGCAGCAACUCAGCAAGCAUUCAGUUUGCUCAAGAAAUGCUGAGCAUGGCAACUGCAUCAAUGUAUGCCCACGCAAUGGAGCAUAUUGCGCACGGCCGCAAGUCCAGCAGUCGCCAGUCCAACAAGUCUCCACUUGAAUUAGCGGGGGAGAUGGAAGCCAUAUUGGGUCCUCUGGCUGGACAGGUAAUAGUCACCGUCAUCAAUAGUAUCCUCAGGACUAAAGACAACGGAAGAACUGAGCAGGAACGGACCACCCCUUUGAGUUACUUCCUUACUGCAGUUUCUGCUGAAAUUCAAAGCAUGGUAGUUCAAAGAUCUGCAAGUAGACAGUCCUCCAGGCAGUCCAUCAGUGACCACUUGAUGAAUAUCUCCAAGGGCAAGAUCGUGAAAGCCGUUCAAAUUAAAAUGUCACAACUCUAUGGCGAGUCUACCAAUGAAAGCUGCAUAUCAGCAACUCCAACAAUCCAGAGCCUGUCCAAGUGCUCAUCCAAAGAAUCCCUUUGUGAUUGGACUCUCACCUCAGAUGACGUGCAUCCAGCUAAGUUCCUGUCUAGCAACAGAAUUACAGCGUUGUCGACUGAUGUUGUGGAUGUUGUGUUUGGUGAUGUUUUUUAUAAUCUUGGACUUUCGGACAGCCAAACACUUUUAAGGCCACAGUGCACCGGCUCCAGCUCAUCAAUAGACAUCAGCGGUGUUGCUGGGGAGAUGGUCAGACAAGUCUCUGUAAAACUCCAGUCCUUUGCGUCCGAGAGCAGUCUGGAGGCCAUGUCCAUGACUCACGACUCACCAUCUUUGUCCAUCUCAGACUCUGACUUGAAGUUCUUGUGCUCUCACUCAGCGGUUGCUGUAGCAACUGCCUGCCAAGCAAUUAAAACUGAGCUUGAGAUUGAGAUGAGUCUCAACCCAGCCACAGAGGCCGGCUCCCAGGGUAACCUUGCUGCCAGAGACCUGGUAUCUUCUCUGUCACAGAGUCUUGAGGAUAUAGAUGUUUCUCAUAUCAUUCAGGGCCUUAAGGAGGCAGAUGUGACAUUUGCCAAUCUGAACAAAACCCCUUCGACUGACACUAAUAGAUUAGAGGAAAUCUUAUCUGCCCAUAUUUCCCCUGAAAGUAUUGCAGCGGCAUCGGUUGAUCUUUUUGAUGGCGUAUUAGGAGACUUGCAUGAGGCAUUUGAGGCAAAUAAGGUCUCAGCAGCCACAAAAUCUGGUCGCAAAAAGUUCUGGGUUGAAGUACAUACAAGUUCACAAAACCUGUACACCAAUGCGCUGGACAAACUAAAUAAGUGGUUCAGUUUACACCAUCUCACUAAUGAAAAAGAUGUUCCUCUGAAUACCAAGCUCUCUGCAACUGGACCACUCCUAACUGAGGCCUGUGUGGAGGUAUCUCCUGUGCAAAAGACCAGUAUUAACAGCUCUGGUAUGUCCUUCAGGUCUCUGAGUGAUAUCUCAGACAACCAGCUAACCCUCAACACAUGCACUAAAGAGGUAAUCAAACAGGUGGCCUCAGUUCUGAAGUUUGAGGCUUCUAAGGAAGACUGUUCUUCUUCCGUUGGAGGGAGGACAUUAAAUGUGUUCUUGGAGUUCAGCCAGAAGUUGGAUGCUCUCAUCUCAAAGUUGGAGGACCUCCCCAUUUCAGGUGAGAUUUCCUCGCUCACACAGCCACAAAGUGCAGUCAGCAGCAGCAGAACCUCUAAUAUUUCCAUCAGGAGUAUCCUAAGUGUGGAGUUCUACACAAAGGCCAACCAGAUCGUGAGUGAGGCUAUCCUUGGAGCUGCAAUUGUUUUCUAUGCUCGCAAAGCCAACCAUUUGGAGCUGAAUAUGCCUGCUACCUAUUCACAACAUCUGUUUGCAGCCACCUCAGACAUUGUGAACAUUAUUGUGGAAGACCUAGAGAGAGAGACCAUGGAUACAGAGUCCCACCUCAUACCUAAAAUAGUUUUUGACAAGUUCCUGGAUGCGGCUCACAACAUCUACUACCAAGUGCGGGAUAGGCUGAAGGUCUUCUUCUCCAUGUCCUCAGUGCCUGCCUCCAAAACCAAAGAUGUGGUGGAUUCCAUGCCUGUGGAGAAACAUGGAUACUUUGAGGCCUCUGACACUGCUCAUGACCCGGAGCGACCUCAAUCUGUCAGGAGUGAGAAGUUGUUGACAAAAGACAGUUUAGCCAAGAUAGAAAGGUCUAAAUCCCUUGCGUCUCGGGGUGGCACAUCAACAGAAAAUCAAGACUUUGACACCUUCACAUUGACACCCACCAAGAGCAUGUCAGUGUUGAGUGAUCACAGUUUGAGAGGAGAUUUUUCUCUCUUGAGUGAAAGUUGCCAACCACUUUUGGCUCUCCAAGACUCAACAGUGGCAGUCACUAAGCAUAGCUUCACCAAGUCUGCUAAGACCACCCUCAGCCAGAUCCUAAAUGUGAUCAAGUGCAGAGUGGCUGCCUCAGAUAAUUCAUCUGUUGGACAGAAGACAACUGACAUGUUGGACUCUCUUCUUGAGAGCCUUGACCAGUUGACUGCAGAUGAGAUAAAGGGGACAGCGUCCCACAGCUUGAUCACAGUAGAUAUGCCAGAGUCACUAUCUAAGCAAUCCUUGACAAAAUACUUUUCUACUCAUGAGAGGAACCAGGAUUCUUCCCCUGCAAAGCUUGUGUGUCAACCAUCAUGCCUGAUACCAACAUCCAUGUCUGACACCAACAUUAUAGUGCAAACUAUAAUGGAAACGCUGGUGAAGGACGAAUCAAAGAAGACUUCAGCAGAGGAAAACCUUGAGAGGCUCGUCUCCAUUGAAACCAUUCAAGGUGUGUCAGACGACCUCAUCACAAAGGUCCAUGGUCUCAUUCAGGAGAUCACAAUAAGCCGGCAACUUCAAUCCAUGGCUGGCCACAGGAGCUUCUCUGAACCGGCAUUGCCAAAGCCAGCCCUAAAAAAGCUGUCAAGGAAUGAUGCCUCUGAGCUCGCCUACAGCUUUGCCGAAAAUUCUGUUAGGACUCUCCUGGGGCAGUGCUUAGAUGUGUCGUCCUUUUCCACUGGAGUAAGGCAGACGAUGGAUCAGGUCACUAAGAUAAUGACUAACACAGUGAUGGACACCCUGACUGAUGAGUCCAAGCCCACAGUGAAGUCAGAGGAUGAAUUAGUUUCCAGGUUAGUCCAACCAGAUGAAUUCCCCACGAGGAGCCUUAACCCAUCUGAUGGCAACGCUGAUGUGAUGCCUCGCUCUGCUGGAGGUGAAAAGAAUAGCAAGAAGUGGCGUUUCCUUUUCAAAAUGCCUAGCAUCCCGAAGAUCAGGAUCAAGGUGUUCAAGAGAAAAGGACAAUCCAAGAAGCACCCUGAACUGGAAGCGCUGCCAACAAAACGUUUCAGUGAUAUGUCACUGAAGGUUCCUUCCGCCUUCCCACCCAUGGAGGACCUGAUACCUGCACCUACUGCACAGAAUCCCCAAUCCCGUAAACGCCCCUUUGUGGUUAGGGUGUUUCGGGCCCUCUCUCGAGCCAUCACCAGUGCCUUCAGAGGAGCUUCAGGGAAGAAGCACUAG
rnacentral:lncRNA from 8 species